GAUGAACGCUGGCGGCGUGCCUAAUACAUGCAAGUCGAGCGAACAGACGAGGAGCUUGCUCCUCUAACGUUAGCGGCGGACGGGUGAGUAACACGUGGAUAACCUACCUAUAAGACUGGGAUAACUUCGGGAAACCGGAGCUAAUACCGGAUAAUAUAUUGAACCGCAUGGUUCAAUGGUGAAAGACGGUUUUGCUGUCACUUAUAGAUGGAUCCGCGCCGCAUUAGCUAGUUGGUAAGGUAACAGCUUACCAAGGCAACGAUGCGUAGCCGACCUGAGAGGGUGAUCGGCCACACGGGAACUGAGACACGGUCCAGACUCCUACGGGAGGCAGCAGUAGGGAAUCUUCCGCAAUGGGCGAAAGCCUGACGGAGCAACGCCGCGUGAGUGAUGAAGGUCUUCGGAUCGUAAAACUCUGUUAUUAGGGAAGAACAAAUGUGUAAGUAACUAUGCACGUCUUGACGGUACCUAAUCAGAAAGCCACGGCUAACUACGUG
rnacentral:rRNA from 1 species